CGUGACAUCUGUGAAGUUGGUGACUAAGACAGAAUGAUGAGGAGGACUUUGGCGAUUUCAGCAGAAUUCUUUAUUCACUGGAGGAGGUGGUGAUUAAUGCGGGGUGGAGCUGCACGAGGCAGACGGUGGAGAGGCAUGGGGAACAGAUGUGGCUGGAGGAGCUGCCCAGAGGUCAGCACUAGGGAGGGGCCUGGAUUCUGUGGGCAGAGUCCGGGGAUGCUCUGCUUGGAAUUGUGAUGGGGGCGAGAUGAAUGGUCUAGCAGGAGGCCCUGAGCGGAGGCCCUGGCUAAGAGGCAGCUGCCUCCCUAGUGAUGCUGGAAUGUAAAGAAAAGCUUAGUCUUCCAUGAUAGAUGGUGGUGAAAUCAAACCCGAAGGGGUUUCGGGAGCUAGAAAAGUCAUCUUGGCCUGAAAGACAGCAAUAUAAUAUCCAGAGAAUUUGAACCAAAAGUCCUACAGUCCUACAGUGAAAUGGCCGGUACUCACCUCCCAGCUGCUGCCUGACAAGGUUUGAAAGGUAGGGAUGAGAAAAGCCUUAUGCAGGGGAAUGUUGAAGAGAGAUAUGGUCUCUAUUAGUUACUUUUCCUCUUGCUAUAGCCUAAUACCUGGCAAAUCGCCGUUGAGGGGUAGCAAGGUUUGUCGUGCUUACAGUUGUAGGGGAUUCGUACCAUCACUGAGUGAGAAGCAUGGCAGGGGGAGCUUGGGGUGGGUUAGCAAUCAGAACAGAGCGGACAGGAAGUGAGGGGCUUGUCCAUUGUGACCCACCUCUCCAUCAAGGUUCCACUUCCUCAAGGCUCUACAACCUUCCAAAACAGCGCCACCUUCUGGGAACCCAGCAUUUAAACAUAUGAGCCUGUGGGAGACGUUUGACCUGCAAACCACAAGAAGUCAGCCUGAAAGCACCCUGUUCUUUGCCAAAUGCCCUGCCCUCUGCAGGCAAAGAAGAACAUGACCACAGCAGUGCCAAGACCAGACCAACAGGAACUUCCACGAGUGUCUGUGGUCCCGAGAACAUUCCUUGUUCUUCCAGGAUUUUUACCUCACCUGAGACCCUGGUGGCUCUUAGGAGAGCCUGACUUCCCUGUGGCCGCCUCCCACGAAGGGCAUGACUUCAGUUCUGGGUGGUGCUCCCUUGGCAGUGCUCAGAUCACUGUGGACAAAUUCCCCAAUAUUGGUCAACACCCUUCUGGACUUCCAAAUUGGAUCAUUGCCUGGAAACUUCUGCAUGCUGCUUCACCCCACCAGAGCUGCCUAAUGCAAGCAUCUGUCUGAAUCACUCCUACUGUUGAGACAGUCUCCACCUUUAAGUCUUGGGCUAGAGAUGCCAAACCACCUGCCUAGGACCUGGCCCUAUGAGCUGAGGUGUCACAGGCACCUCUGCUCAUAAUAUCUGACAUCUCAGGCCUCCAGAUCCUCAGGGCCAUGCAGUCAUGACAAUGUAUAGUUCACCACUGACUUUUCUGAUUUUUAGGUUUUAAUUAUAAUCUGCUUUGUUUAGACCUUAAUACAUCUAAUGACUUACAGUGCGGUUUUGAUUCAUUGUGAUUGGCUUCUAAAGUCUUCAAAUCAUUAUGGGGACAUCAUAAAAUUUGCCUAGUCUCCUUGAACAUUGUAUUUUUGAUGAUGUAAAACAUAAAAUUCAUUGUCCUGUGAGGUGUGUGAGUAACAAGGGAAGACAGAGGGUGAGGAGCUAUGUAGCAGAGAGGAGUCAACUGAAGGAGAGAAAUGGCCUCGCGACCAUGGAAGCAUGGUUAAGAAACAGCCAAGAAGAUGCCAAAUAAACAAGAGACUCCAGUUUUGCCGCA
rnacentral:lncRNA from 1 species